rnacentral:lncRNA from 1 species
UUGAGUGUGUAGCCAAAGGUAAUAUAUUUGGUUAGCUUGCUUGUUAGCUGGACCGUAAAGUCAUUGUUGGGAUAGGUAAACUACCCUACUUUGAGAAUAGACUAGUUCAAUAGAAAACUAAUCGAUUUGUCUGUUGGACUAUGCUACUUCUAAAGGAGGGUAGUAUACCUGACUUAAUAAUGACUUCACGGUUCAGCUAACAAGCAAGCUUACCAAAGAUAUAACAUUUCUCUACACACUCAAUGGAAUCCGCUGUAAU